rnacentral:rRNA from 1 species
GACGGAGGAUGCAAGUGUUAUCUGGAAUCACUGGGCGUAAAGCGUCUGUAGGUGGUUCGAAAAGUCCACUGUUAAAAAUUGAGGCUUAACUUCAAAGAUGCCGUGGAAACUUUCAAACUAGAGUAUGGUAGGGGUAGAGGGAAUUUCCAGUGGAGCGGUGAAAUGCGUAGAUAUUGGAAAGACCACCGAUGGCGAAGGCACUCUACUGGGCCACUACUGACACUGAGAGACGAAAGCUAGGGGAGCAAAUGGG